AGUUGUAAACAUUCUGUGAAUUCUUUGAAAAGCAUCUGAAGAGUCAGGCGUACUGCUAGUCGAUCGAAUUCAAAAUAUUCGCAUUACAGGCCUCAUAUAAUCAUAUUUCAAGCUCAAUUAACGCGUCGCACGGUGAAUGGAUCCGGUGAGAUAAGCAUUUGGUACACCUGUCCUACAAUUGACGUCACUAAAGUUUCGCGUGCGUGCGUGCGUGCGUGCGAGAAACGCGCGCGCGUGCAGGCCCUUGAGAGAGCUGGAGCCAAAAUGAAUCAAACGAAGUCCGCGCUGCUUCGCUGUGCACUUAAAUCAGCUAGAAAUUUGUAAACACAAUACAAUGACGCAGUCGCUAACCACUUGAACAGCUGUGCUGCUGACCGUUAUGCGCCGAUGCGCCGCGGCGCGCCGACAGCGGACAGCGAAGCCAAUAGCCGACAAUGGCAAUGAUUGGAGGGCCGCCAACAAUGACAACAACAACAACAAUAAUUAUAAAAUAAUAAUAAUAAUAAACAAAUGUUACUAGGCCAAAUGGUKAGCCAU